GAGGAGGAGGGAGGGUCUAGCUAGCCUCUGUUUUGUUUGACAACACAUCGAACGUCAACAGGAAGUUACAUCCACCCAGGAUCACUUAGAGUGUUAUGAUACAGACGGCACGGAGGCAGAGGUAAAAGCAAGUAUGGUGGUUUAUUUGAGAAACAGCAAUGAGCAGGUGAGUAAAUGGAAGAUGGAGAAUUCAAAUGAGAUGAUAGAGGUUUGAUACUGUCCUUGUGAUUGCAGAUGGAGGUAGAAGUCGAGGAGAUGGAGAAUGGCUGACGAGGAACACUCACACACACGGAAGGAGGAACACAGGAGGGGAACUGGAGACAAUGGAGCGAUAGGGAUCGCUGGUAGCAGGUAAGUAGCAGCAGGGAGAGAAGGACAAAAAGGAACAGAAAAUGAAGGCAGAGGUGGAGUGUGCAGCCAAAUUAAGUGCAAAUACAGGACUCACAGGAUUCAUAACCCAAAGACAGCCAACACUUUUCUUCUUCCUGAUUCUAGCGUAGCUCUUCUUCUCUGCAAGGUCCAUGGCAAAAUCAUGUGCAUCUGCAUAGGCUCUGGACAACCGCCAAAGGUACUGCCACUUCUGAUCAAACUGUAAGCACA